AAAAAUUAUUUUGGAAGAUUAUAUAUGUUUGGAAAAUAAAUUUGAAAAUUUUGAAAUUGAAAAAAAAAGUUUGGCAGAAAUGAUUGUUUGUCGAAAAAAUUAAAAAUGAAAGAAAACAUAAAUGUAUAAAAAACAUAAAUCAGAGAAAUAACACAAAUAUUAUUAGUUACUCUUAUUAAAUAUAAAAAUGCCUCGAAAGCGGAAAUCGGCGCUGUCAAGAAAUUCUACGCCGGUGCGUAAGGCUAAAGUUACACGAAAUAAAGAAUGUGAAGUUCAAGCAGAGCUGAGAAGGCAACAGCAAGCAGAUCGACAACGUGUUUUGAGAGCAGCUGAAACUUCUCAUCAGGCACGAGUACGUUCGAAAAGACAAGCUUAGCAGCAGGAAGCUAGAAGAGCAACGGAAACGCAAGAACAAUUGCAGGCAAGAAGAAUUAAUGAUGCAGAAGUAAGAACCACGCGUCGUCGUAAUUUCAUAACUAAGAAUUGGAAUAUAUAUAAAAUAUAUUCUUUAUAUGGAUCCAUAUCUACUAUAAUGAUAUCAGUUAUUUAUUUGAUGGAUUCGAUGCGAGCGAAGCCGCGGGUAAAAUCUAGUAUCAUAUAAACAUAAAUUUAUCUUCCAUAUUCUGUUAUCAUUUAAAAAAUGCGAGGAGCCUUUUGGUGGUGGACUAUAUAUUAAAUAUAUAAUAAUUUCGGGUUUUUUAGUUUCAUUUAAUAAAUAUGGAAGGCAAGAGGCAUUGAUUAAUUAUAUCCAGCAGCCGAAAAUGGAAAUGUUGCCACAAUAAAUAAAAGCAGUGAGUGUGCACGAAUUCGUUGUAAUGCCAACUAAAACAACAACAAAAAUAAGGCGAACAAUAAAAUUUUGCUAGCUCGCGCCUGUGCGCGUUGAUGUGCCCACAUCUUAUUAACGUCAAAUUAGCAAUCCACCCAAAGAGAAAUAUUAAUGCUCACAUAGCCGGCUUAAUUCAUUUGGGUUUUCCAAUAUUUUAGUGUUUUUAUUAAACUCGAAUUAAUAUAUAUGUAUACUGUAAG